ensembl:miRNA MIR4668 microRNA 4668
AGGGAAAAAAAAAAGGAUUUGUCUUGUAGCCAGGAUAUUGUUUUAAAGAAAAUCCUUUUUGUUUUUCCAG